CUCGAAAAGACCGAACGGCGUGGUAACAGCCGUCUUGUGAACGUCGUCGGCGCGAUCGGCACUUGAUGGUACGGUCGAAAGGACCCGUCCUUUUUUGGCACGAGUAACAACGGACUAGCCCACGCACUCGAAGAUGGUCGGCAGAUGUUUGGCUUCCACAUAAUUUUUACAUAUUUUUUCUUUUUUAUUUAUUAUACCAACAACUCGUAACCAAGUU